ACGGGAGGCAGCAGUGGGGAAUAUUGCACAAUGGGCGCAAGCCUGAUGCAGCAACGCCGCGUGGGGGAUGACGGCCUUCGGGUUGUAAACCUCUUUUAGUAGGGAAGAAGGGCUUCGGCUUGACGGUACCUGCAGAAAAAGGACCGGCUAACUACGUGCCAGCAGCCGCGGUAAUACGUAGGGUCCGAGCGUUGUCCGGAAUUAUUGGGCGUAAAGAGCUCGUAGGCGGUUUGUCGCGUCUGCUGUGAAAUCCCGAGGCUCAACCUCGGGCCUGCAGUGGGUACGGGCAGACUUGAGUGGUGUAGGGGAGACUGGAAUUCCUGGUGUAGCGGUGGAAUGCGCAGAUAUCAGGAGGAACACCGAUGGCGAAGGCAGGUCUCUGGGCACUUACUGACGCUGAGGAGCGAAAGCGUGGGGAGCGAACAGGAUUAGAUACCCUGGUA
rnacentral:rRNA from 1 species